rnacentral:lncRNA from 1 species
GCGGGACCAGUACCCUGCUCUGCGGGCCCAAGAGCGACGGAACUGGCAGACCGCUCUGGUCCUCUGCUGUGCCACGGAGCGUUAUGUUUCUGCUCUGGGUUUCCUUUUCUUCAGUCAAAAUAAGAGCAGAGGACCGAGUGAUGCCCCUGCUUUCCUGGGCCCCGUGGGUGCCCUGGACGCUGAGCCCGGACCCCUCUGCUCCCAUGGCCUCGCUGACAGUGUGGGCACCCAUGGCUCUCCCUGGGAAGCCUGCCCGGCGCCUUGGAGCCCUACAUCGUGGUGAGGUCAGCCCCCUGGGGUCCCACAGCCCCGAGGUGCCCCUGUACAGCCCGCACUGGGGCUCUCCUCUUCCUGUCGUGUGAGUGAGAGUUUCAUUCACGUCUGCCUCUCCCGCCAGCCUGGGGGCCCACCUGCAUGCAGGGACCUUGCCUACUGUAUACUGUAUCCAGCACACAGAAACGUUGUCAAGUGCCUACUAGGUUCUGGAUAAACACUGGAAAAAAAAAGAAACAGCAUUAGCGUGGCAAAGAAAAUGGACACAGACACCACUCAGGUGCUGAGGGCCGUGGUUCCGC